rnacentral:rRNA from 1 species
GAUGAACGCUGGCGGCGUGCCUAACACAUUCAAGUCGAACGGAACUAUUACGAAUGAAGUUUUCGGAUGGAUUUUGUUUUAGUUUAGUGGCGGACGGGUGAGUAACGCGUGAGCAACCUGCCUUUGCAAUCGGGAUAACAGCCGGAAACAGCUGCUAAUACCGAAUGAUACACAUUGGUCGCAUGUCCGAUGUGUCAAAGAUCCGUUGUGCAAAGAUGGGCUCGCGUCUGAUUAGAUAGUUGGUGAGGUAACGGCUCACCAAGUCGACGAUCAGUAGCCGGACUGAGAGGUUGAACGGCCACAUUGGAACUGAGAUACGGUCCAGACUCCUACGGGAGGCAGCAGUGGGAAUAUUGGGCAAUGGGCGAAAGCCUGACCCAGCGACGCCGCGUGAGGGAAGAAGGUCUUCGGAUUGUAAACCUCUGUUGAUAGGGAAGAAGAAAAGUGACGGUACCUAUCGAGGAAGUCAACGGCUAACUACGUGCCAGCAGCCGACGG